UACGAAGGGGGCUAGCGUUGUUCGGAAUUACUGGGCGUAAAGGGCGCGUAGGCGGCCUCGUCAGUCGUGUGUGAAAUACCUGGGCUCAACCCGGGAAUUGCGCUCGAUACUGCGAGGCUUGAGUGUGGGAGAGGUUGGUGGAAUUCCCAGUGUAGAGGUGAAAUUCGUAGAUAUUGGGAAGAACACCGGUGGCGAAGGCGGCCAACUGGACCACAACUGACGCUGAGGCGCGAAAGCGUGGGGAGCAAACAGG
rnacentral:rRNA from 1 species